rnacentral:rRNA from 1 species
AUGGUGUGGUAUGUAUUGAACAAUUGUGGUCAAGCUCAGAAAUAUAUCGAAAUGCUCAGAGAUGAGUUAAAAAGAAAACAGGUGCCAAACAUUGAUAAAGAGCUUCAGAAAGAAUUCCAGACAUGGUUCAAGAACUAUAUCAUGAGGCUGCAGGAUGAACAUAGCGAAGAAAUAGAUGAAGAUAUCUUUUCCUUGGCAUGUGAACCUGAUCAGAGAGUCAGAAAAUACUCAGCAUGCAUAGUGAAUGGUAUUAGAUAUAGCACUGUUGACCGUGAUAGCAACAAGAGAACACAGAACAGUGGAGUCAUGGCCGAAGGUGAACAUGGCAGUAAGGUCAUAGAUUUUUAUGGAACCUUGAAAGAGAUCAUCCAGUUGGACUAUAACUCCAAUGAUAACUCGGACGGCAGGUCAGUUAUUUUGUUUAAAUGUGACUGUUUAAACUUGAUGGAAAGAAGAAGGAGCUAA